rnacentral:rRNA from 1 species
UACACUCCUGCGGGAGGCAGCAGUGGGGAAUAUUGGACAAUGGGCGCAAGCCUGAUCCAGCCAUGCCGCGUGAGUGAUGAAGGCCCUAGGGUUGUAAAGCUCUUUCACCGGUGAAGAUAAUGACGGUAACCGGAGAAGAAGCCCCGGCUAACUUCGUGCCAGCAGCCGCGGUAAUACGAAGGGGGCUAGCGUUGUUCGGAUUUACUGGGCGUAAAGCGCACGUAGGCGGACUAUUAAGUCAGGGGUGAAAUCCCGGGGCUCAACCCCGGAACUGCCUUUGAUACUGGUAGUCUUGAGUUCGAGAGAGGUGAGUGGAAUUCCGAGUGUAGAGGUGAAAUUCGUAGAUAUUCGGAGGAACACCAGUGGCGAAGGCGGCUCACUGGCUCGAUACUGACGCUGAGGUGCGAAAGCGUGGGGAGCAAACAGGAUUAGAUACCCCAGUAGUCCCA